rnacentral:rRNA from 1 species
AGAGUUUGAUUCUGGCUCAGGAUGAACGCUGGCGGCGUGCCUAACACAUGCAAGUCGAGCGAUUACUUCGGUAAAGAGCGGCGGACGGGUGAGUAACGCGUGGGUAACCUGCCUCAUACACAUGGAUAACAUACCGAAAGGUAUGCUAAUACAAGAUAAUAUAAGAGAUUCACAUGGAUUUCUUAUCAAAGCUCCGGCGGUAUGAGAUGGACCCGCGUCUGAUUAGCUAGUUGGUAAGGUAAUGGCUUACCAAGGCGACGAUCAGUAGCCGACCUGAGAGGGUGAUCGGCCACAUUGGAACUGAGACACGGUACCAAACUCCUACGGGAGGCAGCAGGUGGGGAAUAUUGCAACAAGUGGGACGAAAGCCUGAUGCAGCAACGCCGCGUGAGUGAUGAAGGCCGUUCGGGUACGUAAAACUCUGUCCUCAAGGAAGAUAAUGACGGUACUUGAGGAGGAACGCCCGGCUAACUACGUGCCAGCCGCAGC